rnacentral:rRNA from 1 species
AGAGUUUGAUCCUGGCUCAGGACGAACGCUGGCGGCGUGCUUAACACAUGCAAGUCGAACGAAAAGACGGAAAGAGCUUGCUCUUUUCAGAAUUGAGUGGCAAACGGGUGAGUAACACGUAAACAACCUGCCUUCAGGAUGGGGACAACAGACGGAAACGACUGCUAAUACCGAAUAAGUUCCAAGAGCCGCAUGGCCCAUGGAAGAAAAGGUGGCCUCUACCUGUAAGCUAUCGCCUGAAGAGGGGUUUGCGUCUGAUUAGCUGGUUGGAGGGGUAACGGCCCACCAAGGCGACGAUCAGUAGCCGGUCUGAGAGGAUGAACGGCCACACUGGAACUGAGACACGGUCCAGACUCCUACGGGAGGCAGCAGUGGGGAAUCUUCCGCAAUGGGCGAAAGCCUGACGGAGCAACGCCGCGUGAGUGAUGACGGCCUUCGGGUUGUAAAACUCUGUGAUCCGGGACGAAAAGGCAGAGUGCGAAGAACAAACUGCAUUGACGGUACCGGAAAAGCAAGCCACGGCUAACUACGUGCCAGCAGCCGCGGUAAUACGUAGGUGGCAAGCGUUGUCCGGAAUUAUUGGGCGUAAAGCGCGCGCAGGCGGCUUCCCAAGUCCCUCUUAAAAGUGCGGGGCUUAACCCCGUGAUGGGAAGGAAACUGGGAAGCUGGAGUAUCGGAGAGGAAAGUGGAAUUCCUAGUGUAGCGGUGAAAUGCGUAGAGAUUAGGAAGAACACCGGUGGCGAAGGCGACUUUCUGGACGAAAACUGACGCUGAGGCGCGAAAGCGUGGGGAGCAAACAGGAUUAGAUACCCUGGUAGUCCACGCCGUAAACGAUGAGUGCUAGGUGUUGGAUCCUUUCCGGGAUUCAGUGCCGCAGCUAACGCAUUAAGCACUCCGCCUGGGGAGUACGACCGCAAGGUUGAAACUCAAAGGAAUUGACGGGGGCCCGCAC